rnacentral:rRNA from 1 species
UACGUAGGGUGCGAGCGUUGUCCGGAAUUAUUGGGCGUAAAGAGCUUGUAGGCGGUUUGUCGCGUCUGCUGUGAAAAUCCGGGGCUCAACCCCGGACUUGCAGUGGGUACGGGCAGACUAGAGUGUGGUAGGGGAGACUGGAAUUCCUGGUGUAGCGGUGAAAUGCGCAGAUAUCAGGAGGAACACCGAUGGCGAAGGCAGGUCUCUGGGCCACUACUGACGCUGAGGAACGAAAGCGUGGGGAGCGAACAGG